GAUGAACGCUGGCGGCGUGCCUAAUACAUGCAAGUCGAGCGAAUGGAUUAAGAGCUUGCUCUUAUGAAGUUAGCGGCGGACGGGUGAGUAACACGUGGGUAACCUGCCCAUAAGACUGGGAUAACUCCGGGAAACCGGGGCUAAUACCGGAUAACAUUUUGAACCGCAUGGUUCGAAAUUGAAAGGCGGCUUCGGCUGUCACUUAGGGCUGGACCCGCGUCGCAUUAGCUAGUUGGUGAGGUAACGGCUCACCAAGUCAACGAUGCGUAGCCGACCUGAGAGGGUGAUCGGCCACACUGGGACUGAGACACGGCCCAGACUCCUACGGGAGGCAGCAGUAGGGAAUCUUCCGCAAUGGACGAAAGUCUGACGGAGCAACGCCGCGUGAGUGAUGAAGGCUUUCGGGUCGUAAAACUCUGUUGUUAGGGAAGAACAAGUGCUAGUUGAAUAAGCUGGCACCUUGACGGUACCUAACCAGAAAGCCACGGCUAACUACGUGCCAGCAGCCGCCGUAA
rnacentral:rRNA from 1 species